ACUUGUCAUAAUUAUGAUGAACUUACUUAUGUUAAUUAUUCUUUUUCUUUAAAUAUUUAUUUUUUAGUUGUAGUUGGACACAAUAUCUUUAUUUUAUUUAUUUAUUUAUUUUUAUGUGGUGCUGAGGAUCGAACCCAGGGCCUCGCAUGUGCUAAGCGAGCACUCUACCGCUGAGCCCCAGCCUCAGGCCCUGAGUUAAUUAUUCUUUAAUGGCCGUCUUCCCUAUUUCUAGAUUGCAGGCUCGUGAAGGCAGAGACCUUGUCUGUGUCAUUCCCAGUGCCUAGAAAACGAUAGUCUCUAAAGAAAUACUCAUCCCGUGACUGCAAGGGCUAUUUUUCUGGGUUCUCAUUCAUUCAGCAGACACCUGUGGGGCACCUGCUCUGUGCCAACUCCGUGGCACGAGGGGAAGGUUAUUCCUAAAUCAGGGAUUGAAUCCCCAAGAAGAGCUGGUAUAGAGACUUAGCCUGGGCAGAAGUGGAGCAUAGAUGCAGAGGUGAGGCUGGCAAGGCAAGCAGGUAAACUGAGAGCCUGCCUCAUGCCAGAGCUUGUGCCAGGUUGGGCAUUGAGUAGUGAGUGAGAGUCUCUGCCCUCAGGGAAGCGGUGGUCGGGCCAGGAAAAGAAACUAAGAAACAUUCCCUUCUGAGCCUACUAUCCUGCUCUGGGAGAGUAGUGAGCACCUGACUUGGAAGGUGGUCCUUGGGGUCUAAGAAUCUGUAUUCAGAUUUCACAUCUCAGGGACCAGGCGGAGCCAGUUGUAAACACUCUUCAUUAACCAGAGUGAAAUUCCAAGGCAGGGCAGGGAGGGCCAGGGACAUUGUUUCCUCUCCAUUGCUGGUUAUUUCGCUCUGAGGUCCUUUCUGUGGGCCACAGACCUGUGGCUUCCCACUCAGGGAGGAGCAUGUGCGCUGAGGUGUGGGACAGGCAGGCCACUGUCACCAGGCCCCACACAGUCCUCUGAAGUGGGCAGGCGGG
rnacentral:lncRNA from 1 species